rnacentral:rRNA from 1 species
GACGAACGCUGGCGGCGUGCUUAACACAUGCAAGUCGAACGAAGAGCGAUGGAAGCUUGCUUCUAUCAAUCUUAGUGGCGAACGGGUGAGUAACGCGUAAUCAACCUGCCCUUCAGAGGGGGACAACAGUUGGAAACGACUGCUAAUACCGCAUACGAUCUAAUCUCGGCAUCGAGGAUAGAUGAAAGGUGGCCUCUACAUGUAAGCUAUCACUGAAGGAGGGGAUUGCGUCUGAUUAGCUAGUUGGAGGGGUAACGGCCCACCAAGGCGAUGAUCAGUAGCCGGUCUGAGAGGAUGAACGGCCACAUUGGGACUGAGACACGGCCCAGACUCCUACGGGAGGCAGCAGUGGGGAAUCUUCCGCAAUGGACGAAAGUCUGACGGAGCAACGCCGCGUGAGUGAUGACGGCCUUCGGGUUGUAAAGCUCUGUUAAUCGGGACGAAAGGCCUUCUUGCGAACAGUUAGAAGGAUUGACGGUACCGGAAUAGAAGCC